rnacentral:rRNA from 1 species
GAUGAACGCUGGCGGCGUGCCUAAUACAUGCAAGUCGAGCGAACGGACGAGAAGCUUGCUUAUCUGAUGUUAGCGGCGGACGGGUGAGUAACACGUGGAUAACCUACCUAUAAGACUGGGAUAACUUCGGGAAACCGGAGCUAAUACCGGAUAAUAUUUUGAACCGCAUGGUUCAAAAGUGAAAGACGGUCUUGCUGUCACUUAUAGAUGGAUCCGCGCUGCAUUAGCUAGUUGGUAAGGUAACGGCUUACCAAGGCAACGAUGCAUAGCCGACCUGAGAGGGGGGAUCGCCCCCACGGAACCUGGAAACGGGUCCAGCCCCUUAGGGGAGCAGCAGGAGGGAAUCCUCCCCCAUGGGCGAAAGCCUGAACGAGCAACCCCGGGGGAGGGAUUGAGGUCCUCCGAUCGUAAAACCUUGUUAUUAGGGAAGAACAUAUGUGUAAGUAACUGUGCACAUCUUGACGGUACCUAAUCAGAAAGCCACGGCUAACUACGUG